rnacentral:rRNA from 1 species
UACGGAGGGUGCAAGCGUUGUCCGGAUUUAUUGGGUUUAAAGGGUGCGUAGGCGGCCCUGUAAGUCAGUGGUGAAAUACUGCAGCUUAACUGUAGCAUUGCCAUUGAUACUGUAGGGCUUGAGUACAGAUGAGGUAGGCGGAAUUGAUGGUGUAGCGGUGAAAUGCAUAGAUACCAUCAAGAACACCGAUUGCGAAGGCAGCUUACUAAGCUGUAACUGACGCUGAGGCACGAAAAGCGUGGGGAUC